GGGUGUUAGCUCAGCUGGUUAGAGCGCCGGCCUGUCACGUCGGAGGUCGAGGGUUCAAGUCCCUUACAU
rnacentral:tRNA from 4 species